UUAUGGCAUGUCGUUAUUAUCCCAUUAAAUUGUGGGAUAGUAAAAUCUGGGAUUAAUUAACACCGGCUGUUUAUUAGUACUGGCGAUGUUACGUUAGAUAUAAAUACGCAUCGUUUUCGCAUUCGUCAUUCUUUCAAUUUUCUUCACCGCUUUCUCCUUUCCUUAUACAUCAAUAUGACGCGAUCCAUCACUUUUUGCCUAUUGGUUUUGACAGCAGUAAUAGCUUUCAUCCGAGAAGUUGAUGCGGAGUGUAUAGGAUGUAUGGUGGAUGGUAAAUGCCGCGAAUCCAAAGAGUCAUGGACAGAAAGGAAGGGAGAUACGUGUGCCACGAAACUGUGUCAACCUAAGGUUAACCAAACAUGGAGAGUAUUUACAAAAAAAGUGUCGUGUCUGAAAGAAGAUGGCAAGUGUGUUGGGAAAGGUACAACUUGGACGACCAUGAAAGGCGGAAAAUGCUGGACUCAUGAAUGCAUAAUUUCACCACUUAACAAAGUUACAAUUUCAUCAAAAGUAGGAGGAAAGUGUUAAGAAAAAAUGUGAGACUGACCAAUCUAGAACCGAAAACGAAAUCGCAACCAAUACCAAAAUCAAUUUGCAAUAAACCGAUGAAGAAGGAGAUAAUAAUUAUACCGAGCCAAACUUUAAUAUUUCUCUCUUAUAAUCCUCACAGAAACACGUGUAAUAAAUAAUGCAAUAAACUCAUUUCAGACCAA